AGUCAAGUAAUUAAGUGCAUGUGGUGGAUGCCUUGGCAGUCAGAGGCGAUGAAAGACGUGAUAGCCUGCGAAAAGCUCCGGGGAGGCGGCAAAUAUCCUUUGAUCCGGAGAUGUCUGAAUGGGGGAACCCACCUACUUUAAGGUAGGUAUUGCAACAUGAAUACAUAGUGUUGCAAGGCGAACGAGGGGAAGUGAAACAUCUCAGUACCCUUAGGAAAAGAAAUCAAUUGAGAUUCCCUCAGUAGCGGCGAGCGAACGGGGAUCAGCCCAUUAAGUUAUGUGUGUUUUAGUGGAACGCUCUGGGAAGUGCGAACGUAGAGGGUGAUAUUCCCGUACACGAAAGGGCACACAUAAUGAUGACGAGUAGGGCGAGGCACGUGAAACCUUGUCUGAAUAUGGGGGGACCAUCCUCCAAGGCUAAAUACUCCUGACUGACCGAUAGUGAACCAGUACCGUGAGGGAAAGGCGAAAAGAACCCCUGUGAGGGGAGUGAAAUAGAUCCUGAAACCGCAUGCAUACAAGCAGUGGGAGCACCUUCGUGGUGUGACUGCGUACCUUUUGUAUAAUGGGUCAGCGACUUAUAUUCAGUAGCAAGGUUAACCGUAUAGGGGAGCCGUAGAGAAAUCGAGUCUUAAUAGGGCGUUUAGUUGCUGGGUAUAGACCCGAAACCAGGCGAUCUAUCCAUGAGCAGGUUGAAGGUUGGGUAACACUAACUGGAGGACCGAACCCACUGUCGUUGAAAAGCCAGGGGAUGACUUGUGGAUAGGGGUGAAAGGCUAAUCAAGCCUGGUGAUAGCUGGGUUCUCCCCGAAAGCUAUUUAGGUAGCGCCUCGGACGAAUACCAUAGGGGGUAGAGCACUGUUUCGGCUAGGGGGUCAUCCCGACUACCAAACCGAUGCAAACUCCGAAUACCUAUGAGUACUAUCCGGGAGACAGACUGCGGGUGCUAACGUCCGUAGUCAAGAGGAAAACAAUCCAGACCGCCAGCUAAGGCCCCAAAAUCAUAGUUAAGUGGGAAACGAUGUGGGAAGGCAUAUAGACAGCUAGGAGGUUGGCUUAGAAGCAGCCACCCUUUAAAGAAAGCGUAAUAGCUCACUAGUCGAGUCGGCCUGCGCGGAAGAUGUAACGGGGCUAAAACUAUGUGCCGAAGCUGCGGAUGUAUACUUUGUAUACGUGGUAGGGGAGCGUUCUGUAAGCCGAUGAAGGUGUGUUGAGAAGCAUGCUGGAGGUAUCAGAAGUGCGAAUGCUGACGUGAGUAACGACAAAACGGGUGAAAAACCCGUUCGCCGAAAGACCAAGGGUUCCAGUCCAACGUUAAUCGGGGCUGGGUGAGUCGACCCCUAAGGCGAGGCCGAAAGGCGUAGUCGAUGGGAAAAUGGUUAAUAUUCCAUUACUUCUGUGUAAUGCGAUGAGAGGACGGAGAAGGCUAAAUCAGCCUGGCGUUGGUUGUCCAGGUGAAAGGAUGUAGGCAUGUAUCUUAGGCAAAUCCGGGGUACUCUAUGCUGAGAUCUGAUAGCAAGCUGUACUUGUACAGCGAAGUGGUUGAUGCCAUGCUUCCAGGAAAAGUCUCUAAGCUUCAGUUACACAGGAAUCGUACCCGAAACCGACACAGGUGGUCAGGUCGAGUAGACCAAGGCGCUUGAGAGAACUCUGCUGAAGGAACUAGGCAAAAUGGUACCGUAACUUCGGGAGAAGGUACGCUGUUGUUGGUGAUGGAACUCGCUUCCUGAGCUGACGACAGCCGCAGAAACCAGGCCGCUGCAACUGUUUAUUAAAAACAUAGCACUCUGCAAACACGAAAGUGGACGUAUAGGGUGUGAUGCCUGCCCGGUGCUGGAAGGUUAAUUGAUGGGGUUAGCGUAAGCGAAGCUCUUGAUCGAAGCCCCAGUAAACGGCGGCCGUAACUAUAACGGUCCUAAGGUAGCGAAAUUCCUUGUCGGGUAAGUUCCGACCUGCACGAAUGGCAUAAUGAUGGCGGCGCUGUCUCCAGCAGAGGCUCAGUGAAAUCGAAAUCGCUGUGAAGAUGCAGUGUACCCGCGGCUAGACGGAAAGACCCCGUGAACCUUUACUGCAGCUUGACACUGAACUUUGACCUUACUUGUGUAGGAUAGGUGGGAGGCUUUGAAGCUGGAACGCUAGUUCCAGUGGAGCCGUCCUUGAAAUACCACCCUGGUAAUGUUGAGGUUCUAACUCUGUCCCGUGAUCCGGGACGAGGACCGUGUCUGGUGGGUAGUUUGACUGGGGCGGUCUCCUCCUAAAGAGUAACGGAGGAGUACGAAGGUGCGCUCAGCGUGGUCGGAAAUCACGCGUAGAGUAUAAAGGCAAAAGCGCGCUUAACUGCGAGACCCACAAGUCGAGCAGGUACGAAAGUAGGUCUUAGUGAUCCGGUGGUUCUGUAUGGAAGGGCCAUCGCUCAACGGAUAAAAGGUACUCUGGGGAUAACAGGCUGAUACCGCCCAAGAGUUCAUAUCGACGGCGGUGUUUGCACCUCGAUGUCGGCUCAUCUCAUCCUGGGGCUGAAGCAGGUCCCAAGGGUAUGGCUGUUCGCCAUUUAAAGAGAGGUACGCGAGCUGGGUUUAGAACGUCGUGAGACAGUUCGGUCCCUAUCUACCGUGGGCGCUGGAAAUUUGAGAGGAUCUGCUCCUAGUACGAGAGGACCAGAGUGGACGAACCUCUGGUGUACCGGUUGUGACGCCAGUCGCAUCGCCGGGUAGCUAUGUUCGGAAGGGAUAACCGCUGAAAGCAUCUAAGCGGGAAGCCUACCUCAAGAUAAGAUUUCCCUAGGACUUUAUGUCCUCUAAAGAGCCGUUCGAGACUAGGACGUUGAUAGGUUGGAUGUGGAAGCAUAGUGAUAUGUGAAGCUGACCAAUACUAAUUGCUCGUGAGGCUUGACUAU
rnacentral:rRNA from 1 species